rnacentral:rRNA from 1 species
UAUGGCUCAGGAUGAACGCUGGCGGCGUGCCUAACACAUGCAAGUCGAGCGGAGAUAGACGGAAGCCUAGCGAUGUCUAUCUUAGCGGCGGAUGGGUGAGUAACACGUGGGUAACCUGCCCUGUACUGGGGGAUAACAGCUGGAAACGGCUGUUAAUACCGCAUAUGCGCACGGAGCCGCAUGGCCCUGGGCGGAAAGAUUCAUCGGUACAGGAUGGGCCCGCGCCGGAUUAACUUGUUGGCGGGGUAACGGCCCACCAAGGUGAUGAUCCGUAGCCGACCUGAGAGGGUGACCGGCCACAUUGGGACUGAGACACGGCCCAAACUCCUACGGGAGGCAGCAGUGGGGGAUAUUGCACAAUGGGGGAAACCCUGAUGCCAGCGACGCCGCGUGAAGGAUGACGUAUUUCGGUAUGUAAACUUCUAUCAGCGGGGAAGAAGAUGACGGUACCCGCACAAGAAGCCCCGGCUAACUACGUGCCAGCCGCUGC